AAUGGGCGAAAGCCUGACCCAGCAACGCCGCGUGAAGGAAGAAGGCCCUCGGGUUGUAAACUUCUUUUAAGAGGGACGAAACAAAUGACGGUACCUCUUGAAUAAGCCACGGCUAACUACGUGCCAGCAGCCGCGGUAAUACGUAGGUGGCAAGCGUUAUCCGGAUUUACUGGGUGUAAAGGGCGUGUAGGCGGGAGUGCAAGUCAGAUGUGAAAAUUAUGGGCUCAACCCAUAACCUGCAUUUGAAACUGUUCUUCUUGAGUGAUGGAGAGGCAGGCGGAAUUCCGUGUGUAGCGGUGAAAUGCGUAGAUAUACGGAGGAACACCAGUGGCGAAGGCGGCCUGCUGGACAUUAACUGACGCUGAGGCGCGAAAGCGUGGGGAGCAAA
rnacentral:rRNA from 1 species